GGUCAUUUUUAUACAUUUCCUGUUAAUUUAUAUAAGUUUGAAUUUUUCGAAAAACUAAUGAUUUCCUUAUCACAGGCAGAUAAUUUUAGCCUCCCGUUUUGUCUAUUUUAAUUUUGUUUUCACUAUGUUUUCCUAUUCUUUAUUGUGUUUGUAAUAUUUUAUUUAUUUUUUUCUGUAGAUUUUGCCAAUCAGUCUUAAUCUGUAAACCUCACAGACACCCUUGUCUAUUAAAACUAUCUCGUGGUUACAUGUGUAUUCUGUCGUGUGGUUUUCAAUCGUUUUAAAUCAAACAAUUGUCAAAGUUCAAGUAU
rnacentral:lncRNA from 1 species